GACAGGCACAUAGCCUUCACACAGUUGAACCUGGUGAUUGAAUGGAUAGGAAGCAGCAUAUUGCAAUAUUUACUACUGCGAGUCUUCCAUGGAUGACUGGAACUGCUGUUAAUCCUCUAUUUCGUGCUGCAUACCAUACAAGAGAUGGGGAGAGAGGUUACUUUGGUGAUUCCAUGGCUAUCUUUAAAGGAUCAACUAAGAUCAAGUGUGCAUUUGGCCAAGUAUGAAGAACGAAUAGAGCACAUCUAUUCUCAGUCUUUCUUAUUGGAAGAAGAUCCAAUCAUGCCCGGAGCUUUAGUGACCAAAUUUUUUUAUGUGGUACAGUUAGUUCAAAGCAUAUAAGGUAAGCGAUUUCCUCAAAUCUUGUGGAUAUCAAGAUCCUUAAUAUUCUACCUCCAACACGUAUCUAAAGCUGGAAUGGUAUAGAGUCUUCUUAAUGCUUCUAAUAAAAAGAAGGGGGGGGGGAGAGUGGUGAAGGAAAAAAGUGAAAAAGAGAACCAAAAACUGUUUUAUAUGCAAUUGCUACUGUUCCUUAUGCUUAGAUUUACCCCUUGGAAUAUGCAUGGAAAUUUCUGCAUUCACUCAAACAAAUUCUCCUAUCCGAAUGUGGAUCAGGUCAUUCUCUUCAGACUGCGGUACGUGUUACAUGUGUGCCAUUAAGAAGAUUUUUUGCUGGGGAUCAUCCUUUUCUCAAAGCAGCUUAAACUUAAAUUCUCCAUUGUUGUGCUUUAGAUGGCUUGGUUGAUGCUAUCCUCCCUUUCAUGGGUGAAUCUAUCAUGGAUGGCACAUUGGCAAAGUUUUUGAAGAGUAUGUUGUGUUAUUAUUUGUCUCUAUUUUUGGUUUGAGUUUGUGAACAUGCAAAAUACAUAUGAGAAAAGGAUGCUCCAGUCAUUUCAAAGAAUGGUGAAGGUAUUACACAGGCUGCUCCAUCUGAGGACAAACCGAAAAAGAGGAUCCUCAGCCAUCUAAUCCUGCAAAAAAGGAUAGUGCUGAUAAGCAAGAGCCAAAAGCAGAAUCUGCUCUUGUGAAGGAUAAACCUAAAGCACCAUUCCCACCACCAACCAAGGCCUCAGCUACAGAACCUCAGUUUCCUCCCAAGGAAAGGGAAAGACAAGUGUGUUGCAUGUCUUAUUUACCCAAAUAUAUUCAUUGCAAAGUUUCAUAUUGAACUUUAUGGCCUAUGAUUAUGAGGAUUAUAUGAUAAAGAAAUAGUUUCUGCUGCCUUCAGAACUUUAUCAUGAUUGCAGGUUCCUAUGACAAGCGAAGGAGUAUGUUCCAGUUCUCUAUCUACUGACAUACAACAUAUGCAGCUUUUGGAAUCUCUAUACGCUGGUGAAGGCUCCGAAAUAUUGGAUCGUCUGAGCAACAAACAAUUGCUUUUUAAAAACAUAGACUAUGCAAUUGACAUCUUUCUGAUAUAUAUGUUCUGACACUGUCAAUCUUCCCUGGGUUUUUGUUUGAAGAUAUUGGGUCUCAUAGUCUUGGUUCAUGGUAAGUCCUCCCUUACAGACAGUGAAAUAAACAGGUUCAGAAACUUUUUGUACUUGGGAUUGGUACACCGGUUGUUUAUUUAUUUAUCUCACCGUUUUUUCAACAAUUCAAUACUGGGAAUUACAUUAAAUUACUCAGAACUCCCAAAA